UCGGCCCGCCCCUCGGGCCGCGAGAGGCGCCGGGAUCGCGGGCGCCGGCUGAGCCAGCGGCUCUUGGGAGGCUGCGUCCGCGCGCCGGCGGGGCGAGGCGGCCGGGCCCUGCGCGUCAGAGGUGGGUGGCCGUCUCCCUUCCCUGUACCCUGGUGAAGAGCGGUGCAGUGCCGUCACUCAGAGGUGGGUGGCCGUCUCCCUUCCCUGUGUCCUGGUGAAGAGCGGUGCAGUGCCGUCACUCAGAGGUGGGUGGCCGUCUCCCUUCCCUGUGUCCUGGUGAAGAGCCGUGUAGUGCCGUCACUCAGAGGUGAGUGGCCGUCUCCCUUCCCUGUGCCCUGGUGAAGA
rnacentral:lncRNA from 1 species